UACGUAGGGUGCAAGCGUUGUCCGGAAUUAUUGGGCGUAAAGAGCUCGUAGGCGGUUUGUCGCGUCUGCUGUGAAAACCCGAGGCUCAACCUCGGGCCUGCAGUGGGUACGGGCAGACUAGAGUGCGGUAGGGGAGAUUGGAAUUCCUGGUGUAGCGGUGGAAUGCGCAGAUAUCCGGAGGAACACCAAUGGCGAAGGCAGAUCUGCUGGGCCGUAACUGACGCUGAGGAGCGGAAAGCAUGGGGAGCGAACAGG
rnacentral:rRNA from 1 species